rnacentral:lncRNA from 1 species
GAUCAACAUGAAACGUGCAACACGACAACAAAAGAAAGUGACAGAAAGCAAAAAUGAGGAUAAGAAUUCCAAAGUUGGAAUAAAGAAAACACCAACUUUCAAGUAUGAAAGAGGCAACACAUCAAAAGAUUCUGACGACCAAAAAGUAAACGCAUCAGAAAGUCUGUAUGCAAAGCAGAAGAAAGUGACAGAAAGCAAAAUUGAUGAAAAAAAUUCCAAAGUUGGAAAAAAGGAGACACAAAAUUCCAAGAAUGGAAGAAGCAACACGUCACAAGGUUCUGACCACCAAAAAGUAAAUGCGUUAAAAAAUCUGUCUGCAAAGCAGAUAACCAAAAUGCCCACCAUGACCCCAUGGUCGACUCUUCCAGCACGUACGUGGUGGAGCUAACAGCUUGUUUAUUUUAAAUGAAGGGGGCCUCAUAAAGAGGACUUAAAUACUUAAGUAGAUUGAAGCCGGGAGUUUUUUUCAUUGCAUCAGUUCAGUUUCAUCGGACAAUGUAUUUCUUCACACUAAACAAUCGAAUUUUUUUUUUAUUUUUUUCCUUACUUUUCCUGUCCUGAUGAAUGAAAGAUCCCUCGCAGAUAGAAUUAUAAAGGGUCACAUAAAAUGCUUGCUUAUGCCGAGGGCCGAGGAAGAAUUUUAAAAAAUGUGGAGAGAAUCAUACUUUUCAGCAUGUCACCCACCAAGUUGACAGAUGAAGAUAAUCGAAUAACUCUACUGCUACGUAGUGUAUACACUGUUCAAUUUCGAUUUUCCGGGUCCCUUUGAUUUAUAGACGCGACGAUGGAGUAAAUUGAAAAAAAAUAAAGUUUUUUCUGUAUUUUCGAAAUUCAUUUGCGAGUGCAAAAUUGUUGAUAUUUAAAACUUGGAUUCAUUUGUGUCCGCGGAAAUUUUGGGGUGAAGGGCCUGUUGGGGCCGAUCUCCCCCAUCCUCCUUAGUAUUGUACGGAUACUCAAGAUCUCAACAUUUUUUACUGUAAAUGAAGUAUUUGAACCUUUUCACCUUGUUUCCCUGCAAAAGAGGGUGGAUCCAGCACUUCUUUACCACCUUCCUAUCAACUUUAGAGAGUGUAAAGAAAAGGAAGUGCAGCUAUACAAUAAAAUAUUAAAACGUCACGCGUGUGAUUAUGUAAACUGAGUAAAAUAUAUAAGUAAUAGAAGAUUG